GUCCAGACUUCGCCUUACAACGAUCCCUUGUAGCCCCAAUUAGCACUGGGGCCUGGCAU
rnacentral:rRNA from 1 species